GCUUGGAUAACUCACUUGGUAGAGCAUGAGAUUCUUAAUCUCAGGGUUGUGGGUUUGAGUCCCACAUUGGGUG